CUCCUGGGUGCUGGGGAAAAGUCUGUUGACAAAGCCACCAGCUGUCCCCAGUUGGAGCCAGGGAGACAGACUCCUCCUCCCUGAACCACCACCUACACAGGGAGACCAUUCCUACCAGGACCCAGUCAGCAACGGAACUUGGACCAUCUUGAAGCUCAGAUCACAGGCUCCGAGCGACCUCCCCUCCAGCUCCAGCUGCCCAGCCUAACAAGAACAAGGGCACAAGACCUCACCCAGGCCUUUCUGGAACCAGCAGCCAGUAGGCUCUGGAGAUUCCAAAGGGCAGCUGGUUGCCAAGGAGAAAAAAAAUAAAAUAAGACUACAGAAGAAUGAAGAGACCUGAAGGACCCCAACUUUUUCUGGCAUCCCCAGGACUGGUUCUUCUGAGGAAAGAACAGUAGAGAGGUUCAUCAGAAGCAGAAGGCCCAAGUGGGAGCUCCCUGAAGCCCACCAUUGGGGACACGUGUUGAGCGAUGUCCUGCAGCACGGAGCACAGUGGAUCCCUGGAGAGGAGGAGGCAGACUGGGCCUGUGAAUGAGAGGCAUGACGUAUGUAUUCAAGGCUCAGUCUGAUGAAAAGAUUUGGAAGCCUAGCAUAAGGUUAGGUUCUGACUAUCUCUGAUGCUCACAGAGAGCCGCCGAGACUUUGCAGUAGAAGACAAGGUCUUACAGAGAUAGCCCUUCAAGGCUUUUAAAAUCACUUUGCAGAGAAGAAUGACCCUGGACUUCUGAUACACUUCCAGGAAUCUGUCAAGGACCAUCUGCCACCACAUGCUACUAUAUACUCCCUAUAUGCAUGUUAAAUAAGCAAACAAAUGCCUACCUGCAUGCAGUCGUGCGGCAAGACAACUGUAGGGGGAGGUGUGUGUGGUGGGGCUUUUGGUACCCAAGAUGUGGCAGACUCCUUCCCAACUUGCUGGACAGCAUCAGUUUUGCAAAAACACCAUACUAAGUCACCUUCCCACAGCACCCAUUCUGCACCAGGAUUUGCUGAGCACUGAGAACCCCCACUUCUUCCCACAGCGCUAUGAGAAGAAAUGACUGUUUGUCUG
ensembl:lncRNA